rnacentral:rRNA from 1 species
CCUACGGGACGCAGCAGUGAGGAAUAUUGGUCAAUGGGCGAGAGCCUGAACCAGCCAAGUCGCGUGAAGGAUGACGGCCCUACGGGUUGUAAACUUCUUUUGUCAGGGAGCAAUUGGGUCCACGUGUGACUCAUUGAGAGUACCCGAAGAAAAAGCAUCGGCUAACUCCGUGCCAGCAGCCGCGGUAAUACGGAGGAUGCGAGCGUUAUCCGGAUUUAUUGGGUUUAAAGGGUGCGCAGGCGGAGGUGCAAGUCAGCGGUCAAAUUGCGGGGCUCAACCCCGUACUGCCGUUGAAACUGCAUCCC